GACGAACGCUGGCGGCGUGCUUAACACAUGCAAGUCGAGCGGUAAGGCCCUUUCGGGGUACGACGAGCGGCGAACGGGUGAGUAACACGUGGGUGACCUGCCCUCCAGCUCUGGGAUAAGCCUGGGAAACCGGGUCUAAUACCGGAUAUGACUCCAUGACGCAUGUUGUGGGGUGGAAAGCCUUGUGCGGCUGAGGAUGGGCCCGCGGCCUAUCAGCUUGUUGGUGGGGUGAUGGCCUACCAAGGCGACGACGGGUAGCCGGCCUGAGAGGGCGACCGGCCACACUGGGACUGAGACACGGCCCAGACUCCUACGGGAGGCAGCAGUGGGGAAUCUUGCGCAAUGGGCGAAAGCCUGACGCAGCGACGCCGCGUGAGG
rnacentral:rRNA from 1 species